GCCAGCAUGGCAUAGUGGUUUGAGUGUUAGACUACAACUCUGUUGAUCAGGGUUCGAUUCCCAGCUUGGUCA